rnacentral:lncRNA from 1 species
CACUCUUGUUCCAGUAAAGCCUCUGCUGAUAGCUGUGUGCCCUUUGUUUUUAAUCCUUUCUCGGUAUCCGUCUCUGGCCAUCCUUAUCUUUACUAGGAGUCAAAGGCUGUGAAGGGACCACCAGAAAAAUAAGUAAUUCAUAGCUUUUCAAAGCCUGAGCCCCAAAUACUCAACUGUCAAAACCUGAGCCCCAAAUAUCCCUUCCCUUGGGCUUGAAUUUGCUAAACUGGAGCCUGUGUUUACUCUACUAGGGUAACCAAGUAUUCAGGAGCUCAGAGAAAAAAGGACUGGCCACUAUACCUCUUUGGAGGUAAGAGAGGAACCCAUGUGCGUUCAUGUGUAGAAGAAUCACUUUCACCUGGAAUAGAAUGUCAAUCCCUAGAACCUCACUGUCUGGCAGGCAGGAAGUGAUACCAGUUUCUGGCUUGGAAAGGACAUCUGAAGGAUCCUGUUGGUUUUGUCUGCUGACACGUGGUUAGUGCUGACCCAAUGUCUGACCUGAUUGUCUUCAUCCAUAACUUCAUCUAGCCCAGUUUACAAAAGAAUGAACACAAAUGACAACCUCAGUGAACCUGCACCAUGAGGAUGCCAUUACUUCUCCCACAUUCUCAUUGUCUUCUCUUCUUGGCUUCUCUUCCCCUGUACUCCUCUCUGUUGACACAGAAUAUGCAAAGUCCAAGAGAUGUGGCAAUGCCAGUAAGAGCUAAAUUACUUGCAGCUGGUGGUGCCACCUGUGCCUAUCAAAUUGCAGCCAAAGCAGUUGCUUUCCCAAAAUGCCCUGUUUUGGGGAAUUGGAAAGUGAAUCUGUAGGGGCAACAAUGACUGUAUAGAAGUGAGCUUUUCUCUGGGCUAAAAUAUGACGACAAAAUUGUGAAGUAGAUAAUCCCAAAUCCCCACUUUUGCAUCUUCAUGAGCUCAGAGGCAACCCAAGAGAUUUCUGAGUUAAGCCUUUGGACUUUAGGUGAGCUCUCAACUAGAACCCUCCUUUGCAAGCAGAUCUCCUGUGGGGAUGACAGUUUGAUAACCUAUCCUGGUGGUUGUAUAGAUGAGAAUGUUUGUGAUUCCUUCUCUCUCCAUAAGACCUCGCCACUUCCAGUUAUGUUCCUUUUAUUUUUGUUUAGUCAUUUUUGUGCUUAGGGAACAAUUUUUCAGCUUUGUACUCUCACCUCGUAAAAGUCCUUUGUAUCAUUGUGAAAAAGCAAGUCAAGGCCUGGCGUGGUGGCUCAUGCCUAUAAUCCCACCAUUUUGGGAGGCUGAGGCGGGCAGAUCACAAGGUCGGGAGUUUGAGACCAGCCUGGCCAACAUAGUGAAACCCCAUCUCUACUAAAAGUUAAAAAAAAAAACAAAAAAAAACAAUUAGCCGGGCGUGGUGGCAGGCACCUGUAGUCCUAGCUACUUGGGAGGCUGAGGCAGGAGAAUUGCUUGAACCUGAGAGGCGGAGGUUGCAGUGAGCCGAGAUUGCGCCAUUGCACUCCAGCCUGAGUGACAGUACAAGACUCCGUCUCACAGAAAAAAAAAAAAAAAAAAAAAA